CUGGAUUCUGGAGGAGGCCUCGGCGCGCAGCUGGGCGAGUACUAACUGUUUGCACUCUCAUCAGACCUGCCUCGGUCAUGGGAGAAGUUGAAGACUUUCUGCAAUGCAGCAUCUUCAAGCAAUACACACAUGGAUGAAAAUCCUAAAGUUUGCAUGAAGGACCAAUAACGGUAGUUUCCCUGCCCCUCUACCAGAACCCCUGGGAUCAGCGCCUGCCUGCCUCCUUUCUUCUAUGUAAUCGGCGGCCACCUCCCCUAGCUCUUGCUGCUAACCAUGCUUCCCGGACACCUGCUGCCUUCGUAGGUCAGGGUCUCACCUCCUCGGGCCAAUUCUGACCAAACAGCACCCUGUGGGGUUGCCCUGUCUUAGUAAACUGCUGUUUAUCUCAUUGAAAUUCAGUUUAGGUCAUUUCACUCUUAUGUUUAAGAAACUUUUCUGCCCGAUCUCCUAUGAUAGCGGAUAUCUCCUCUAGCCUGUUUGAAUUUCUCAAGUGAUUUAUUUUACUGAAUAUAUUUGUGGCCUGUACUUUUCAGUGCCUAGAAACAGGCAAAGUGAGGGAGCUCCUUUGCUAGAUGAUCUUCAGAGCCUCUCCCAGCUGUGACCAGAAAUGGAAAGCCAGAGAAGGAUGCCUCGGGGUGGAAACGGGAUGACAGCCAGUGGUUUCUCCACACAUGGACUUGCCAGAACCUUUCCCGAAAUGCUAGGUUGGAAAACUCACAGCUGAUUAAUUACCGCAGUCCACGGCUUACUCCGUCGGGUGGACACAGCGUCCCUCCCCUCUGGAGGAUGCAGCAACAAAAUGCCUCCUUGGAAGCUGAGAGCAGCCCUCACUGGACAACAGAACCUGCUGGCGCUGUGAUCUUGGACUUCCCAACCUCCAGAACAGACUGACUGUAGUCAUAAAGCAGGAUGGACAGCAUCCAGCUGGGUCUUGAGUGGUGGCCCAUACCGAUGUGGACUCCCAUGAUCUGGACUGGCUGGGAGGAUGCUACUGCCUGGUGGCCCCACGCCUGUUGGCCAUGGGAGUUUUGGCCUUCACGUGUUAACUGAAAUAAUGAACACCAUGGUGCUCCAGGUCUCUCGCUCCCAUCCAGGCAUUCUCCACCUGAUAUCUCUCUGGAGGGUGGAUGCUUUUGUCAGCUGUGUCCUCAAUAAACUGCAACCAGGCAUGGGGCAAUGUGGAGGGAGGGAAGAGAUUUAAAUUCAUUUUCUGGGGGGAAGAGUCACCUCCUACUGGAAUCAAGAGCUAAAAAGAGUUCUCCCAUGUGUGCAGUGCCACGUAACUUCCGGUGUAAUGCCACGAAACACCCACACGUGGAAAACACAGUUGCCAGUUCUUCCUCCUCCACCGUGCAGCUCCGGGGAGCUGUGGGGAGCCAGCCCCCUCCAGAAUUAUCUGAUGCCAGCGUUGGCGUGGACAUAAUAAUGAACAAAUAAGCAUUUUUUUAAAUUGACAAGGUGAAAAAGAAGGUUUAGGAUUAAGGAAUCUUGCCUGAGGAUUAGUCGAAUGUCAGUGAGGAGAAAUAACACUGAAUAGACCCAAAAUAUGUUUUCAGGAAACCUCGAAAAUGCUUUCUGCAUAAUAUUAUAUCUCCCUCUGCUAGAACUGCCAAUUUUGAGUUUCUCACUAUUUUUAUUUUCUUGAGAAAUGAUCAUUUUUAUAAAUAGCCUUUUAAAUGUCAAACUAACUGGUUGAAUAAUUUAUCUCUACUUCUUAUCCUGAAUAACUCAACCCUUGCUUGAUUUUCUAAAGGGUUGGGGGAAAGGGGUUCUCAGACAUAAGCGCCCAGAAUAAAUCCUUCUGUCUGUUAGAGGCUUUGGCUGUCUCCUUUCCCGCGGGUGGUGUGGGCUCCCUGUGGCUGGAAGGCGGCUGUCCUUCCGACGGCUUGCUUCCGCUUGGCUCUGCUCGCUCUUCAGUCACAGCCACAGCAGGGUCCAUGAAGGCAGAUGACAGACGGGAACCCCCAAGAGGCACCUAACCAGGGAUCACGUGUGCUUUCCAUGAAGCCACAGGAGGACCAUGACUCACUCCUCAGAGCAGCAACCCAGGGCUGCGGCAUGAUGGGCCUGGUCGGCGCUGGGUGCCUCGUUCGGUGCCGGCAGGAACCAGCACGCACUCAGGCUGAUGAGACCAGGAGGGUCAGCUGGACCCUGACCAUGGUUCUCAAAGGGUGUGCCAGGACCUGCAACAGAAGCACCACUUGGGAACUUGUCAGAAAUGCAAAUUCUUGCCCCUCCUCUAGGCCCGCUGAAUCCUAAACUCUGGAGGUGGGGCCAAGCCAUCUGUGAAUGAACUCCCGCUCCGGGUCGCACCGACCCACCCUCACGUGUGAGAACCCCGGUCUAGGACCCUGGUUCUCCAACUCGCCUGUAUAUGUUUUCAAAAUGCUUGACCUCUCACUGGGAAUUUUUUAAAAAAUAAAUUUUAAAAAU
rnacentral:lncRNA from 1 species